rnacentral:lncRNA from 1 species
ACCAGAUUCACACACACUCUCCUGUACCCCUUAAUCGAAUCCUUUCAAAAAUAUUCUCAUUGAUAUCCUUCAGGAAUCUUGGAGAGAAGAAUAAAGGGGAGUGUCAAAAGGGCCUUGAGAAACAUCUGCCUGAAUAAGGAGGAGAACUGAGGAAGCCAAAAGGGAAUGGAGUUGAGCACAUUGAUUCUUUUGGGAAAAUUCCAAAGAAGAGGUCAGUAGAAGGCUAAGAUACAUCAUCCCCUGUGCAGGAUCCCUGUUUAUCUGGUUAUUUAGACAUGGAGGAGCACUCAGCCAUUCUCUCUUCCCCCAUAUAUUCUGAGCUGCUAAUGAAUGUGUAAGAGGGGAGAGAGGUCCAGAAAUUUACCCAAAGGCCACUCUGAGGAUCAGUUGGCAGAAAAGUGGUCACGAAACACAAGCCACAGACUGCUGAAUCCAGUUCCAAAAGAAAGAAAAGAUCCCUGCUCAUCCCUCCAGAACAACAGCUUUCCAUUCUGAGGGCUGCUAAUGGAUGUCUGAGAGGGGAGAGGGGUCCAGAAAUUUGCCCAAAGGCCAUUCUGAGGAUCGGUUGGCAGAAAAGUGGUCACAACACACAAGCCACAGACUGCUGCAUCCAGUCCCAAAAGAAAGAAAAGAUCCCUGCUCAUCCCUACAGAACAACGGCUUUCCUUUCUGAGGGCUGCUAAUGGAUGUCUGAGAGGGGAGAGGGGUCCAGAAAUUUGCCCAAAGCCCAUUCUGAGGAUCGGUUGGCAGAAAAGUGGUCACAACACACAAGCCACAGACUGCUGCAUCCAGUCCCAAAAGAAAGAAAGGAUCCCUGCUCAUCCCUACAGAACAACAGCUUUCCAUUUGAGGGCUGCUAAUGGAUGUCUGAGAGGGAAGAGGGGUCCAGAAAUUUGCCCAAAGCCCAUUCUGAGGAUCGGUUGGCAGAAAAGUGGUCACAACACACAAGCCACAGACUGCUGCAUCCAGUCCCAAAAGAAAGAAAGGAUCCCUGCUCAUCCCUCCGGAACAACAGCUUUUUCCAUUCUGAGGGCUGCUAAUGGAUGUCUGAGAGGGAAGAGGGGUCCAGAAAUUUGCCCAAAGGCCAUUCUGAGGAUCGGUUGGCAGAAAAGUGGUCACAACACACAAGCCACAGACUGCUGCAUCCAGUCCCAAAAGAAAGAAAGGAUCCCGGCUCAUCCCUACAGAACAACAGCUUUUUCCAUUCUGAGGGCUGCUAAUGGAUGUCUGAGAGGGGAGAGGGGUCCAGAAAUUUGCCCAAAGGCCAUUCUGACGAUUGGUUGGCAGAAAAGUGGUCACAACACACAAGCCACAGACUGCUGCAUCCAGUCCCAUAAGAAAGAAAGGAUCCCUGCUCAUCCCUCCGGAACAACAGCUUUUUCCAUUCUGAGCCUGAAGACAAAGAUGAGGCCUGAAGCAGGAGUCCAGUGCAGUUAUUUGUAA